GGAUGUGAGGGCGAUCUGGCUGGGUAUGUGUCACCGCACGGAUGGCCAGGGCUGAUCUGGCCGGCUAGGCAAGGCAUCCCCUUCCUCCCUCACCGCUCCAUGUGCGUCCCUCCCAAAGCUGUGCGCUCAGUCAAGAGGAAAACCUUCCCCGAUUGAGGAAGACCACCCUUUGGUCAAGGGUAUAUGAGCAGCUGCGUCCCCCAGCUAGAAAUUCCAAAAACAAGCUCUCAAGAAACUAGAUUAGAAACUUACUUGGCUUUAUCUUAUUGUAAAAGUAGGUUUCAAGUAUCACUU
rnacentral:snRNA from 1 species